CGCAGCGGUAAGAAAAAGUCACUCAGUGAAUCGGUGGAUCACACACUUGGAGACAGGGACAGGGGCAUGCCUGACUCUUUAGAAAGUAUACAAGUGUUGAAAGAGUGAAGUCUGGGGACAACGGUAAACGUGAGGAAUGGCACCUCCGCCCUACUAAAGAAGUUCGCAAGCAAGGGACAUGCCGAACACCUACCUUUCCAACUAAGUCCAAGGCGAGGACCCGUUAAUUGACGAUGCGUUCCGUCGUCAGCAAGCGGUGGCCGACAAGGCCCCUUUCCCUAAAUAUCUUGGGAAGCGAAGAGGACAGGUUUGAAACUCAUUCGGUAAUCUUCUCCUGAAGGUAGGCAUUUCCCCAAGGCA
rnacentral:lncRNA from 1 species